rnacentral:rRNA from 1 species
AUUGAACGCUGGCGGCAGGCCUAACACAUGCAAGUCGAACGAGUGGCGGACGGGUGAGUAAUGUCUGGGAAACUGCCUGAUGGAGGGGGAUAACUACUGGAAACGGUAGCUAAUACCGCAUACCAUCGGAUGUGCCCAGAUGGGAUUAGCGAGUGGGUGGGGUAAAGGCUCACCUAGGCGACGAUCCCUAGCUGGUCUGAGAGGAUGACCAGCAACACGUGAACGGAGACACGGUCCAAACUCCUACGGGAGGCAGCAGUGGGGAAUAUUGGACAAUGGGCACAAUCCGGAGGCAGCCAUGCCGCGUGUAGGAGGAAGGCCUUCGGGUUGUAAAGUACUUUCAGCGGGGAGGCGUUACCCGCAGAAGAAGCACCGGCUAACUCCGUGCCAGCAGCCGCGGUAAUUC